rnacentral:rRNA from 1 species
AUUGAACGCUGGCGGCAGGCCUAACACAUGCAAGUCGAGCGAGCGGCGGACGGGUGAGUAAUGUAGGGGGAAUGCCCGAGAGAGGGGGAUAAAUAAUGGAAACGGUGGCUAAUACCGCAUACUAGCGGAUAACCCAUAUGGGAUUAUCUAGUAGGUGGGGUAAAGGCUCACCUAGGCGACGAGCUCUAGCUGGUCUGCGAGGAGGAUCAGCAACACUGGGACUGAGACACGGCCCAGACUCCUACGGAGUCAGCAGUGGGGAAUAUUGCACAAUGGGCGCAAGCCGGAUUCAGCCAUGCCGCUUGUAUGAAGAAGGCCUUAGGGUGGUAAAGUACUUUCAGCGGGGAUGCGUUACCCGCAGAAGAAGCACCGGCUAACUCCGUGCCAGCAGCCGCGGUAAUAC